AUUGAACGCUGGCGGCAUGCCUUACACAUGCAAGUCGAACGGUAACGGGCCUUCGGGUGCCGACGAGUGGCGAACGGGUGAGUAAUACAUCGGAACGUGCCCGAUCGUGGGGGAUAACGAGGCGAAAGCUUUGCUAAUACCGCAUACGAUCUACGGAUGAAAGCAGGGGACCGCAAGGCCUUGCGCGGACGGAGCGGCCGAUGGCAGAUUGGGUAGUUGGUGGGACAAAAGCUUACCAAGCCGACGAUCUGUAGCUGGUCUGAGAGGAUGAUCAGCUACACUGGGACUGAGACACGGCCCAGACUCCUACGGGAGGCAGCAGUGGGGAAUUUUGGACAAUGGGCGCAAGCCUGAUCCAGCCAUGCCGCGUGCAGGAUGAAGGCCUUCGGGUUGUAAACUGCUUUUGUACGGAACGAAAAGCCUUCUUUUAAUACAGGAGGGUCAUGACGGUACCGUAAGAAUAAGCACCGGCUAACUACGUG
rnacentral:rRNA from 1 species